GUCCUGUGCCAAACCAGAGGAAGGAGAGUGUCUGUGCAUCAGGCGCUCCUGAGUCCAGGGAAAGGAGUGUGUUGUGUCUCCGCACUGCUGUUUCAGUGAGUGUGUUGUGGCUCGUGUCAGACUCCUUGACUGUGUGAAGGUGCUUUGGAGACUAGGCACCAAAGCGGUGUGUGCAGCCAGUGCACACACAUAACAUGAGAUACAGAGGGAAAAUACUUCAUUCACCUUUACAGAUCUCCAGAAGGUGGGGAGAGGGCCAGUGGAGACAUGUAAUGAAUGUCGAUAACUACAUUCAAUUUCUUUGGCAAGUGGUAAGUACUGUUCCCCUUUGUUUGCUCAUGAAGACUAUGUUUAAAGUGUUUCAUAAUAUAAAGCAAACCUUUCUGGAGGCCAGUGCCAAUUUUGGUUGAAGAAAUGUAUAGCAGCACAGUUGAAAGUUUUCAUUAUCUCCUUAUGCUCAAUUACUAAUGAAUAUUCUUUAAUUUUUUUUACCACACGUUUCACAUUCAUGACUUUUUUUUUUGCCUGAGGCCUAUGUGAAUAAAACAGUGUACUUCCUGCUUUGACAACAUACUGAUGAUGUACGUUAAGAGAAAAUCAUUAGGAAUAGCCCUGCUGACAAUGUUGCUGGAUGGUAACUUGCACUGAAUCCUGUAAUUUUACUUGUGAUUUUACCUGUAAAGGCUGGAAGUAAAAUAAUUCUCUUGUAAGAAUCUCUGGUAUUUCUCAUCCACACUUCGAAAAUAGACAGGCUGUGGGUAUAUCCACUGGUGAACAGUUCGCAGAUCUCUGGGCUGAAUUAAUCCCGUAAGUAAAAAUUUUCUUCAUAUGGUAUCAACAAAGCAAGGUCGAGUUCUAUACUUAUAAGCAUCAUUGGUGAAAAACCAGAAAGUAUUUUUAAAGCUUUAAGCAUUAGACGGUUGUACUUCACUUGAUUCCCUAAUGUAAUAAAAUUCUUCCUUUCCAAGCCAUUAUCAGUGAGACAAACCCCUGCACUGUAUGUGUUAUUAAUUAUUUAUUCUUUCCAUUUUUUCCUAAAUGCACAUUAAAGAAUUGACUCAUGGCUUUUAAUACAGUUCUGAAGAAGAAACUCAAUCGAUAAUUUUUGGAAAUGCUUUCUUAUGACAAAUACAAUUAUAAGAAAGACAGUAAGUUUAAUCUUCUGUGGUGUUAAGGUAAUGGUUCAACUACUUUACUCCUAUUAGUAUUUUGAUAAAUCUAGAUAGGGAUUUUUUUUUUCUUCUUUAUACUAAUGAUUUUUUGAGAAUUUGUAUAUUGUUCUUACAGAUAUGUUAAUUACUUUUCUAUUAUUUUUUCUAGUUGAAAUACAAUGACUACUUCUUCCCCCUUGUUUCUGUGGUUUCAGUUUCAUGAAAACAUUCUUGUAUAACCUAGUGCAGAAUUAUGAAUUUACUGUUUUAUACAUGUAGUUGUUAUCCUUAGGUAUUUUCCACGUAUGUUAUUUUUAAGCUUUCACAUAAGGAAAUGCAUGCAAAAAUUCCAGACAUGGCUAUUUGUCUGUUCUGAUAGAAAAGCAAGCAAACAAAAAGGUUAUGUAGUGAAUGGAGGGCCCAGCACAUUGCAGAAUUUUCAAUGCAUGUGAGUAUAAUUGCAGAUUUAAUUGCCUUUGACAAGGGAAUGAGGAGGGAUGUUACAGCUAUGUGAGGGCAUGGCUAAACCUUGCAGAAGUGUACUGGUUGGAAUGGUGGCUGCUAGGAAAGGUUAAAUUAUGGAUUAUAUGUAAAAGAUGUUUGAGGGAUUCAUAUACUGCCAAAAUAUGAAGCUCUCCAGUCAUACCUGCUGAGUUCCUAAGAGAAUAGUGAAAUUCUUUGUAGAUAUCAAGAAACCAUUGAACAGAAAGAAAAAUAAGAAUCCUUAUUUUCAGCCAUUCUAUGGGACCCAUUGCAAGUUAGAGGAGAAAUGGAGAAACUCUCCAAACAAGUUGCUGGUGGAGGUAUUGCAGAAGUAGGAGAAAGUGGUUUCAUCACUGGCCCACUGCAGACUUAAUGCUUUGAAAAAAUAAAUUUUGCUGAAGCAAAACCAUUUGUAUUCUUAUCUGUAGCUGGUCAGCUAUUUAAAUGGCACUGAAGAUUACUUCCUUCUGCAACUUUCCUAUUAUUUAAGGAACAAAUAAAUCAUACUGCUAUUGCAGCAUCUCCCUCAUGAGGCUUGGGUGUGAGAUUUAAGUUAGCAGGGUUUAGCCACAUUUACACUGUGGCAACUGUGGACAUGGGGAUGAAUAAGAUCUUAGCAGCAAAGACCUGGUGAUGUGACUUGUUCUGACAGGAGAAAAGGCUAAGCUAACUUGUGUAUAGCAAAUGCAAAGUAAUGCAUGCUGACAAUUUCUGCAGAUCAGCUGAUGUAUUACUAGUUGUUCUAUGAGCUAACUUCAUGGUACUUCUGAGAUCACAAGACAGUUUAGUGCACCACGCUUCUCUUUGCUUAGACUCUGCUCUAAGAGUAAUGGUCUUUCUAUAGGCUUCUGUGGAUUUCAGAUCUCUAUGCAUGCAAAUAUAUUGCAUUAUACACACAGUACCUUGUUACUGCAAAUUAUACGUACCGGUUGGAGUAGUCCUAUGUCAAAGUAGUUAUAGUAUACGUAAUGGGACAGAAUCAAUAGAGAAAUGACAGUAAUUUUGAUAAAGGUAGUUCAUUCCAAACAGAGACUUGCACCAAUAAAAUAGGGAGGAAAAGCUUGAACUCAGUUCUCUGUGGCAACAAGAUAUUCCCAUCUGAACCUUAGUAAGACAGGAUAGAAGGAAACAGUGCUUUGAGGAAGCUGCACUGCGGCAGCAUUUGACAGGAUUUCACACUGCUUACUCAAAAGGGAACUGUUAAAGGUGAAGAGCCAGACAACUAGAGAAUGAAAACGUUUCCUCAUCUCUUUUCCCAUCCUUUCGAGUACAGGCAGAUGAAUUCCAAUAUUAAUGAAAGGGCAAGCAUGUACUUUUGAUUUUGAGAAAUACUGAAUGCUGUUCUCCAUGCAUGAAAGGUUGGAUAGGGUGGGAAAAUACAUGUAGAAUUUAGAGUGAAAUAAUCCAAUGGGAGAAAAAAAUCCUUUUUUACAUUUGUACUUGUGUUUUAGUCCAUGCUUUUCUAUUGCAGCAUGGAUCAGUUAGAGAUAUUCUUACGCUAAUUCAUAUCUUAACCAAACAUUAUUGUUCUUAGAAUAGGUUUGAUUAAGUAUUAUUUUUGCUCCCCAUUUCAAUACAUGUUCUAAAUAGUCAAAGAAACGUAGCUAGGAAAAAAAGACCUUGAUUGCAAUGGCACAGAGACUGUUGUUCUUGGCAUAACUUUAAUGACCAGGCAGACCUUUAAGUAAAAAAAUAUAUAUUCCUGUCAAGGAUUUCCCUUCAAGCCCCUUGACUUUCCAAAUUGGGAAAAAUAUAUUGUUGCGUCUGUGCAUCUGAAGUAAAAAGAACAUUCCCAUCAUUGGAAAAUUUCAAGUAAAUGAAAAAGGUAUUGCAAAUGUUAUGUAUAUACAGCACUCCUCACCUGAAAUACAGUAGGAUUCAUCUAGGACAUUGUGUUGCUAUUUCAUACCAAAAAGACAGUGUAAAUAAGUGAGUUUUUUGAUAGACUAGAUAAAUUUUGAAUUAAUAUUUUAAGCAUGCAUUAUUUUGUCUAUUGUGUUUUUUUAAAGAUUAAUUGAACGUGUAAUGAACUAUAACAAAAAAAAAGUUCAACAUGAAGUUAUGAAGUCAUUAAUGUUAACACUGUGUGGGCAGUCUCUUUCUUUUUUGUUAUCACUUCAGUUCAUUUUUCUGAUAGCCCAGUAGUCCUGGAUAGUAGGAAGUAAAUUUAAGUUGCAGUAGGAAUUAAAUACUUCAUUGCUAAUUACUUGCUUUCUGUUAGCUAAACUUAAGGCUAGCAUGUAAGUUACCCACCAAGAUGCAACAUCAGAAUCUUCUGAAGACAGAAGUCAGUUUACUUUCAAAAGUGAUUAUAAAAAAACAUGCGUGUUUUUUACUGUGAUGAGUUUCUGAGUCAGAGCUGGCUUGCGCUCCAGAAGAGUACUCAUCCCUGCUGUCCCACAUGGCGCCCUCCUUAACCACAAUCUCUUGCUCAGCCUUCUAUUAGUGAGCAUUUGUCAGGUUUUAUAAUUUUCCACAGUCUGUAAUGCAAAUGGUAGCAACAAAUAGCAUUUUAUAAGCUCGUACAUAUUAUUAGAAUUAUCUGAAGAAUCCUUGUUAUGUGUGACUGUUUAUCUCAUCAUAUGAUACUUUAUAUGUAUGACAGAAGACUGUAAAAUACCAUACAUAAUAUGGAUGGUACAUACAUUGACUUCUGGAUUUUGUUUGCAACUCACUGUGAGCAGCUUGUAGUGGGUUUUAAAUGGUUAUAACAGGAACUGCUUACAUUAAGAGUUACUGAUCCUCUCUCUCUCUCUCUCUCUCUGAAUAUUGAUAUAAUGGAUGGUGGUGCCAGCUAAAGCUGAUUACUUCCUGCUCUUUAGUCCUGCUGUCUUUGUGGAAACUAAAGCUGCAGAUUUCCUUAAUUAAUCAUACCAGUCAAGAAACUGAAUAAUUGUAGUGGAGAAUUCUUCUAUUGUCAGCUCUUCUUUCCUUUAAAUACAAAGCCUGGAUGUUAGCUAGCAGAGGUAAUUUUUCAGGGACGACUUUGGGCAUUUUUACCACAACAUACUUCCAUAGUACACCUAUCCCAGAGACCAAAUUCCUUACUCUGUAAAAAGCUUCCCAAAUUAUGCUACCUUAAACCUUAGACAUUGCUAAUAAACUUGUGUCCAGGUGAAAAACCUUAGGAUUCCUGAUUAUCACAAGGAUCAGACAUAACUAGUAGCCUGACCUAGAAAUGGAAUGAGACUUAGUCCUUGAAUGACAUGUUCCUUCAGCAGGUUUCAAAGUAUUCUGUAAAACAGGUAAACCAUGUUUCUCUCAUACACAAGUAGAGAAUAUCAAAGGGUUCAGUGACUUGCUCUGUGCUGCAGAGAAAAUCAGAGGUGAUGGGGGAAACAUUUUUACUCCUAUAGCUAUAUAUUGAAUUGUAAGUUUCAUUUCUUCAUUUCAUGCAUUUGUUUUUUGUUCUUCUUUAUAUUAAGAAAAUGAGAUCCACGGAUCAGAGUGGUUCCAUUUUUUCUCUGCCUUUCUAAAUGCACAAAAAUAUAUUUAAUUUGGUAUUGGUUCUCCUCCCACUUUAGUUGGAUUCCUAGAUGGGUAAAUUAGCAAAAUAAACAGUACUGCAGUAUUUUAUUUUUUUUCCCUUCAGACAAUAAUACAAGUUUUGCUUAAAAUAUUUAUUUUUAUCAGAUAAUCUAAGAAACACAUUAAUUGCUGAGGAUUUAUACCACACUUCCAAGACUGAAACUUGUUUUUUUUAAUAAUUAAACAUGAAUACACUCCAAUGAAGGCUUUCUCUGGUAUCACAUCAGAGUUGCUUGCAUUUAAAUUAGUGGGUCAGGAAGACAGGACAGUGGAACCUUUUAUUAGCAGCUGACUUCUCUCGAGUCUCAUUUUACAUUUUUGGUUCCAGCACUAUUCAGCUGAAAGAAGAUAUUGUAGGUGAAAUAAAGGAGGUAAAUAACAGACAGGGCAGCUGCCAGACAUCAGCUUCCACUGAGUUCUUCAAAAAUAUCUGUAUUCUCAGCAAUAGUAAAAAGAAUCAUAAUGCAGCAUGUUUCCUUGUGAAACAGGUAGUCUUUUGUAUUCUCUUGGAAGAGCUUUUCAUAAGCUAUGUCUAUGGAACAGAGUUCAGUAUUUUUUAAGGCUGUCUUAGAUGAAGAGGAUGACCAUCAAGUGAGAAACAAUGGAAAAUGUCCAUAUAAACUAAAUUUCACUUGCUGGAAUUAUUGUGGUACUGUUGUUAGCCAAGGAGAUCCAUAUUUCCCUUGCAACCACUUCGUUAUGUUCCAGAAGACCUCACAAGUGAAUUUGGUUACAUUAUUAUUCUUUCAGGGUGUUGAACAGCCUGAUGCUCCUUCAACAUCUUUUAGCAAUGGUGCUCUUUGAAAAGCUGCAGGAUGUCUUGAUUUCUCUUGAAUUUUAUUUUUGAGGGCUAAUUAGCACACAAAUAACAGAGACAUUGUGAGACGUACUCAGUGAACAUAUAGCCUGCUAUCACACGCAUUAGCAAGUAAGUCAGAGAUGCUGCGUUUUUCUUUAUAGUCCUAGUUCUUUCCAGCUCCGACCGGACAUAUGUGAAGAUUUUUUGCUCGGGCAGCAUAGGAAAAGGUUGUUGAUAUUAGUAUAUUCUGAAUUACAGAGCAUGUAUGAACUUACAGGGCUGCAUUCCCUAUAGAAUGAUAUAUAAUGAAUAUGUAUUAGAACUUCAUAAUGAGGAGGUAGAAUACUAGAAAGGGUUUGUUGUUACAGCUGUGUUUUCUUUGGGACACAAUGUAAAUGAUCUGCUUGAGGAGCAGAUUACAGAGCUAAUUUAUCCCUAGUGUAACUUCACUGGACUCAGUUGAUUUGCAUGGGAUUUUUUUCAUCCCUAAGAAAAAAAUCAAACUGCAGCUUAUGUGACUGGAUAAGCAUUCAGUACGUAAUGUCUUUAUGUUUAUUUUCUUGUUAGUAUCUUGUUAAUAUGAAACUUCUGUUCCAGCUUUAAAAGCUGAAAUAUUUUCAUUUACUGUUGGGACUUGAAAAGAAAAAUAAAGUAGAAUUUAAAGUUAUUACCAUGGAUUGCAAAUAUUAAUGACUUUUUUUUUCCAAUUGCAAACAUAAAAAGGAAGCCCUUCCUUCACUACUGUAAAACCUUUUCCUUAGAAUUUUUAGGAGUGACUGGGACUCUCUACCCCUUUGACUCAGUACAGAGGAAAAGAAAAAAGAAAAAUCAAACCCAUCUGGAAGAACACACCUCUGAAGCUGUUAAGCCUCUUGUCAGGAAGAGGCAGUAAGAGGAACAGAUGAGAACUGCACUGAGAUCUUUAAUUAAUAAUGCUGCAUAGUAGAAAUGGAGAAGAUUCAGUGACAGAGGACUAACCAAUUUCAGUGAGAAUUACUGCAAAAACUUCCAUGGGAUAUUUAAAAUGUAUCAUUCAAAACUAUUUUUAAAAAAAGGAAACUCAAUAAAAUCUUCUUAUCACAAGAUAGAAUGUUUGUAUAUUUUGCAAGUGUUAGUAACAGUAACUUAAAUUCGAGCCUAUCAAGCAAGAUUUGCAAGACUUCCUAGCAAUUACAUAAGGCGUUUGCUGAGUACUCCCUAAUUAAUUUUAGAGAAGGUGCUUUUUCCAGAUAGGUAUAUGGCAUUUCUGUAGGAAAUUUCUGCUCUCCCUGCAGUUUGGCACAGGCACUCUCACUUUAUCCUGCUGAUAUCACAAGUUCUUAGUCACCUGAUAAUGAGGAACACUCAAAUGCACCAUUUGUGUUACGAUAGAAAGAUGGGAUCCACUCCAGUAAGGUAACAUUGAAUUCAACAGUAGUUGAGAUAGGAUCUCUUCAUAUUUUUCAAAACAUAGAGAAGAGCAGAAGAAUCAUAACAGGAAUGCAGUAGUACAGAUACAUUAGCUUAAGUGCUGUUUGGAACUUGCAGAUUUGUUUGUCUGCUUAUCAGCAAAAUGUACGAUCUACAUUUGAAAUGGAAGGCAUUCACUUAAACAACUUUGAUUUGUUUUCCUGUAAUUUAAUUAUUUACAUAACUUCAUGGGGAGAAGUGCUAGUAUUAGUUUACAAAUGUAGUAUUACUUAAGAAAAUACAGCAUGUACAGAGCACCAUCUAGUGCAGGAUAUCACUAAAAAAGUCUUUCUACUAUCACUUGUCUUCAUUAAGCUAAUUUGUUAUGGACCAUCAUGUUGAAGAAAAAGCCAGCCCUAUGGCUCUUGUGGCAAUAUAAUUACUUGGGGGCCUUCAGCUCAUGGCAACAAAAUUGGAAGCACGGAAAUUCAGGUAAUCUUCUGUAAGAACAACAUACUUCUAAGAGGAAUCUUCUUAUCGUCAUGUCCACAGUGCUGGGCGCAUACUCUCAUUACAAUAAAUACUGUCCCAUCUAGUUGUAAAUGAGACUGGACAUUGAUUCCCAGAACACUUUAGUGACCUAAUUGCCAUUUUAGAUUCCUUAAGUGCACCAAUUAGCACCUCAAAGCCUUUGCUCAGUUUCUGCAGAACCUUAGUGUUCCCCAGGUUCCUUAAACCCAGGUAUUCACCUGUCAUGACUAACAGGUGAGAUUAAAUAAUUGAUUAUCAUUAAGAAAAGAAGAAAUCAAGGAAGUUUAGAUUCAAUAAGAGGCAAGCAAAAGAAACAGACAGUUACUACAAAUUGCUGAAGAAGGGCAGAGAAGAACAAGCUACAGGGUUAAGUUUUUCUUUUUGCAAGGGCUGUGUAUCAGUUCUUUUGUAAGCAACCAAAUACAUGAAUUUGGCUCCAAAGUUGUUCAAUCAAUAUUCGAAUAAAUAUUAUAUUUCUGAUGCAAUCUGUUUAGCAUUAGGGUUGGAUUAAGAGGAAUUGCCUUAGUUAACUGAACACGUAAACUGACUUCUGUCCUGCACUAAAUAAAGGUUGAAAUGGGCCACAGCAACUUAGAAAGUAUGAUUUUGGAUGAAAUACUACGUUUUCAAGCCACCAUCACUGUCAAGAUUUAUCUAAUCUUCUUAUUAAGAUGAACAAACAUUGUAGUGUUUCUCUUUGUACAUUUAAAUUCUCUCUAUUGCAUAUGUAGUUUGGCUGAAUGCUUGAAACACUUCUAGUUCCCCUGUUCUCAAACGUACUCUGAGGAAAACCCUACUUUUAACAGCUCUGUUUUUUUGUGGGUUUUUUGUUUGUUUUUGCUUUCUAACAAGAGAACAAGACGGAAACAAGUGGAAACUUUUGAAAAUCUAGAUGUAGAAUACUUCCCUGGAUACUUUCUUUGCUCUUAAUACUUCUUUCACAAAUGCAAAAGAGAACCCGCUGCUGAAGCUAAAAAAAGGAAGUAUACAAACUUAAAUUUUCAUUCUUUUUGAUCUAAUGAGAAUUAAAGGAACUUGAUAAACCUAACAAGUAGUAGUUUGAUCUGUCUUUCUGAGCAUAUUAUUUUUCUAAAAGCCAUGAAAAAUAGCUUUGACAGAACAGAAUAUGAUACUUAAAAAUGAUGUUUAAGAAUUGGUGUUAGGAAUAACAGUUUUGGGAACACAAGCAGUAUAGCUGAAGAGAAGUUCCCACUGGAAGUAAGUAGGCCAGAUUUUAGUGCCUCAGCUCUUUAUUAGUGCAUACUGGACAUUUAAAAACAAGUGCUAUAGCAUCAAAGGAUCUUUAGCCGUUCAUUUAAUUCUCUUUAGAUUAUAGUUUUUAUUGUUUUGUUCUCCAAAAUGUUUAGGAAGUGGAAGGAAACAGUUUAACAUACAGUUAUAUUUCUCUUGAACAAAUAUUACAAGAUAUACUUCCGAUCACAUUGUUCAUUAUAAAAUCAUUACUGACAAUGUAUUUUACUUGUUAUAUCCUUGAUUCUUUUUCUUUAGAGUUAUAAGAUUUAUAUCAAGUAGUAUGUAUUCGUUUUCAACUAUUUGGGAGUUACUAUGCUGUUCUGUCUAAUGCCUCAACAAUAACAAAAAAACAACUGGCCUUUAUUCUGCUAUCUUGUAAGAAUAAUGAUUCCCCUAGAACAAGUUUCUACCUGUUAAGGAAAUAAAUAGUUACCAACAGCCCAUGUCAGGCUGUUUAUACUCACUCUUUGAAAGUAAAGAGUUUGUAUAUUUAAGAAUAAUUAUGAUCAUUUUGAAUUACAUCAUUCACAUGUUUUUCAUCUAGCCAAUGUGAUCUACUGCAUGAGGAAAGGCCACAGAGAGAUGGUAGGAAUUAACUAUUGUAUUUGUUUACUGCUAGCAGUAUGUGAGGUGCUUUUCAAACAGCUAGGUAGGAUGUCAAAGUCCUUGUCCUGAAGAGUAUCCAGUUGAAAUAAACAUACAAAUGCAUUUUAAAAUGCACAAAGAUUUGUUCUUCCUUAGUUUUAUGAUAUCCAGUAGAGAAAAGGAGUAAAAUUUUAUAUCAAAAUGUGAGAAAAGUACUCACUCAGCUGAAGGAUAUCAUUAACAUUCUCAUAAGUAAAGGAGGAGGAGGAAUUUAUGCUGAAGCAAACAAAAAAGUAUUACUGCAGAUUACUUGAUUUCAAUUGAUACGCGUUAGUAAAAGUCUGUCUUUAAUUUCAAUUAAACAUUAAAAAAAUUAUACGAUUUGUCUUAACACUCUUCAAACGAGCCAAUCUUCCCAGCUUUUACAAUUUCUACAUGAUGUCAUCCCUGGUUUUACAAGGAAUUAAAUCAUUCUCCUUUGAUAGUAGCAUGAUUUGAAAAUAAUGAUUUAAUACUGAAAGCUGAAUAUAUGCAUAUAUAUAUAUAUGCACAUAUAUAUGUGCAUGUACUUAAGCCAGGCUGCUUUCCAGUUACAGAAUUACAUUUCAUUAGGUAGCUUCCUAGAGAAUGUGCUUGCCCUUCUCCAUGGCAGCAUAUAUUCAUCAGUUGUUUAUGUUGUUACUGACUGCUACAGUCUGUUUUGGUGCUAGGCACCCAAGCUAUAGCUAGGCAAAGUUUCUCUUACAGUUUUUGUUGUACAAGGAAAACAUAGAUCUGUAACUUGAUAACAGGAAAGGCCCAGGUAGCCAAGAGAAGAACUGAGAAAAAGGAGAAGCUUGGAAGAAUAAAAAGAAUUAGAAAUGACUGAAAAGAGCACUCAAAGCUGUGGAGAUUAACAAAUACAUAAAGAAAGGUUUUAUGAAGUCAAGUACUAAGAACCUUAAAUGCCAGAUUUUUAGAUUGCAUGUGAAACCUAAAUCCCUCUAUACAUUAUGAUAGUCUACACUCAAAGCAUAGCUUACAUUAAAAAUAGUCACAGCCUUUUGGUAAAGAUGUUGAUAUAUUAAUGUCCACAAUAUCUAUCUGGUUACCAAAAAGAAGAAUGGCAGAAUUACAACCAUCAAAAAACAUAAGAUUGAAGUGAUAUGACCACCACUAAAAAUUCAACUGAUUCUUGGCUGAUGGCAUGCCUUCUCUUCCUCCAGUUUCCUAUCUCAUUCUUUAUGCUUUUUAUGCGUGCUAUGUACAAAACAUGUUCAACAAAUAAAUUGGAGGAACUUACAGACAACCAAUUUCUUCUAAAGUCUUGAUUUGUUCUUGAAUGGGAACUGUUGAGUCACAGCCUGAACCACUGGUUGAGCACAUGGGGAAAGGACCCAGUCAGCCCUGA